rnacentral:rRNA from 1 species
GCAGUGGAUCGACGAACCGGGGCUUGCCCCGGGGCAGAGCCGCGAACGGGUGAGUAACACGUGGGUAACCCACCCCGAUGACCGGGACAACCCGAGGAAACUCGGGCUAAUACCGGAUGUGCUCCUUGGCCAUGAGGUCAAUGAGCAAAGAUAGCUUCGGCCUUCGCAUCGGGACGGGCCCGCGGCCCAUUAGCUUGUUGGUGGGGUAACGGCCUACCAAGGCGACGAUGGGUAGCUGGUCUGAGAGGACGAUCAGCCACACUGGGACUGAGACACGGCCCAGACUCCUACGGGAGGCAGCAGUGGGGAAUCUUGCGCAAUGCGCGAAAGCGUGACGCAGCAACGCCGCGUGGGGGAAGACGGCCUUCGGGUUGUAAACCCCUUUCAGUUGGGACGAAGCUUCGCCGGUGAAUAGCCGGCUGGAGUGACGGUACCUUCACAAGAAGCCCCGGCUAACUACGUGCCAGC